rnacentral:rRNA from 1 species
AUAAAUACAACUUUCAACAACGGAUCUCUUGGCUCUCGCAUCGAUGAAGAACGCAGCGAAAUGCGAUAAGUAAUGUGAAUUGCAGAAUUCAGUGAAUCAUCGAAUCUUUGAACGCACCUUGCGCCCCUUGGUAUUCCGAGGGGCAUGCCUGUUUGAGUGU